GCGUGAGUGAUGAAGGCCUUAGGGUUGUAAAGCUCUUUUACCCGGGAUGAUAAUGACAGUACCGGGAGAAUAAGCCCCGGCUAACUCCGUGCCAGCAGCCGCGGUAAUACGGAGGGGGCUAGCGUUGUUCGGAAUCACUGGGCGUAAAGCGUACGUAGGCGGUUAUUCAAGUCAGAGGUGAAAGCCUGGUGCUCAACAUCAGAACUGCCUUUGAAACUAGAUAGCUAGAAUCACGGAGAGGUGAGUGGAAUUCCGAGUGUAGAGGUGAAAUUCGU
rnacentral:rRNA from 1 species